GACUAUAUCACAUUGAAAUAUUGUUUCCCAUACGAUCACUGAAGUUAAGGAACAUCGAGCCUGGUCAGUACUUACAUGGGUGACCACUUUGGAAUAUCGGGUGGUGUAA